GUUCCUGCCGUCCCCGACGCGAAAGAUGCCGGCCGUACACCACAAAUUAUUACUCGAGGAGGCUUUGCAAGACAGUCCGCAGACGCGGUCCUUACUCAGUGUGUCUGAAGAGGAUGCAGGCACACUCACUAACUACACAGACCAGCUGCUCCAGCACAGAGAUCAGCACACUGAAGGAGAUAUUCGGCAUCGCCAGAGAUGAGCGUGAAGCUGCCAUGGUGAAAUAUAGUCGUUUACCUAAGAAGAGAGAAAAUGAAAAGUAAGACGGGUCUGGUGAUGACGGUGUGGGACCGCUUGUUCUUCUUCACGCUCGGGGGGAACCUGAUGUGUCAGCUGCGGGAUGGUCCUGGAUAUGGACAACUGUUCUGUCAUGACCAUCGAGUGUGAGGAGCGCCGCUACUGCUUCCAGAUCACUUCACCCAACGGCAGAACUGGAUUUGCACCCUCAACAACAUUUCCAGACAGAAUUAUCUAACCGACAAGCCUGAGGUUGCAUCAGACGGCUCUGCAGGCUGUGACGCCCAUCACCAGCUUUGAGAAGCGAGCAGAGGGUUCUCCUAAAACCGACUGAGUGACACCAGGCGGUGUGUCCUCCAGAGAGCCUCAGAAACCCCUCGAGCCUGAGGAUCUGAUCGUCCCGGGAACACCAAUCCAGUUUGACAUUUGUUUUCUGUCAGACGCACAAACCCCUUUGGUGAGGAAGAUGGAGGAAGAUGAUGAUGAUUCAGACACACAUGGACCCUGAAGCUCUGGCUCAGCUCCUGAAGUCGAUGCCGGACCAGACGAGCUGGACUCAGAGGCCUGAUCUGAAAACAACACACACACACUCACUCCUCGCAGCUCCAGACAGACUACUGAAGGAAAAACAACAGGUGAUCGAGUGAACAAGCUCAUUCGUUUACCACUUACCUAAUUUUAGAUGCUUCUGAUGAAGGAUCAAGUCUUUUUUGUAACCUUUCAGUUUGAACACAUUAGACAUGGUUUUACAAGUUCAAGGAAUAAUUCACCCAAAAAUUAACCUUUCUACCGUUUCCUCAGCGAAUGACAGAUGCUCAGUCAAGAGUACUGCAUGACUCUGAAUAUAGAGCUUGAGUGCUGUCCACAGUUCAACAGAGUAAAUUACUGUUUCAGUUUCAUUGUGUGGAAAAGUUGUUCAUUUUUUGGGUGUACUGUCACUUUAAGGCAAGUCUUAUUGAUUCAGUUAGCAAUGUGAUUGUCAUUUACACUUCAUUAGAGUUUAAAAUUGUUUCCUAAUGUCAGAUGUUUUAGCUUUUUAAAGGAUAAUUUAUGCUGUUGAUUAUGAUACAGGAAAGGUUUAGAAAACUCACACUUCGUUAUCACCUCCAUGAAACCUGAACAUUUGCACUUUCUUUCUUCCUGUUGCCUCUGAAAUGUUAAAUGCUGAUUUUCAUAAGCAUCAAGCUGCCAUGACACUUUCAUUGUGAUGCUGUUUAUAAUAACAUCUUGCAAAGCCUGUGUGAAAACCAAUUUGCAUACUAGCAAUGAUUUAGGAUGCAGUUUUAAAAUAUGCAUUCAUGAAUGCUAAUACUGCUUCAGAAAAUACUUUUGUGGCGUUUUUGGUAAAAUUUCAAAUGUAUAAACAAAUGUUAAGGGAUAGUUUUCCAAGAAAUGAACAUUUGCUGAAAAUGUGUUCACCUUCAGGACAUCCAAAAUGUAGAUGAGUUUGUUUCUUUAUCAGAACGGAUCUGCAGUUGUUUUAACUGUUGAAAUCCAAGUGCCUGAAAGUUGUUUACAAAUCUUGUUUACUUUGUGACCAUUUCUAACUUCCUUUAUGAGUCCUGAGAACAAAAUCUGAAAAUUAAAUAGUUUAUUUUACACAUCUCCUAGCCUGCGUGGAGAAAAGCGUCUGUGCACACAUCACGACAGGAAACACUGCACUGCAUCACUACAGAGCAAAACAGAUUUGAGUUUGUCACUGAAAAACAGCUACGAGCAAUCGUGGUCGAUGGCUUUGGUUAUAGACACACUGACACGACACUAAAGCAGCAGGUCAGAGGUCACUCAAGAGUCUUUGUAGUAGUUAUUGAGGUUGAUCCGCAACAGGAAGUCCUCCAGAUGGGGCUGAUAACCUUUAUCCACCAGUUUGGUCACCACUGCAGAAAAUACAAGCAUAAAUACAGUCAUUCAACAUUUAUUUUUUAAUGCUAAUAUAUAUAUAUAUAUUUUAAUGAUUUUCAAACUGUAAAACAGCCUCUUUAUAAACAUUAAUUUGAACUACUCUUAAAAUAUGACUGAUCAAAUUUACAGACUUGUUGCAUAGUGAUGAUGUUAAAUUAAGUUGCUGUAUACAAGAACUCUUGACUGACAUUAAUAAAAGAGUUCAAGAACAGAUCAAAUACUACAGAGGAGUAGGAUAUAGAUCCUUUAGAGCCGUUUCAUUACAGGUCUGAGCAUCCUGAUGCUACAUUUGGCGUGCAUGAAUCUCUGAACAAGCUGCAUUUGUGAUGACUUUGUUGGCAACCAUGCAGUAUUUAUUUAGCCAGGUUUUCAAAGACCGCACCAUCUGGUUAGUUUCACAGCGGCUCCUUUUAUUGAGCAUAUGACAGCAGUAAUAAAGAGAGAGUGUCAUGUGGUUGGUGGUUUAAUUCUCCACAAAAAAAGAUGCCAAUUGAUUUUACAAGUCUGAAUUAUAAAGGAGAUGCUCAAUAGUGUGGAUGGGCUGAACAUGAUAAAUCUGUUGUAAUGUUCUGCACAGAUUGCCAGGCUUUUCAAGAAAAAGGGUAUGAAUUUACAGUUAUAGACAUGUAUAUUUUCCAGGAAUUAAUUGCAGAUCAUGCUAAUAAAUAAAAUAAAUGCUAAUAAAUUA